rnacentral:rRNA from 1 species
GACGAACUGUGCAAACGUUAUUCGGAAUCACUGGGCUUAAAGCGUGCGUAGGCGGCUGAGAAAGUUGGGUGUGAAAUCCCUCGGCUCAACCGAGGAAUUGCGCUCAAAACUACUUGGCUUGAGGGAGUUAGAGGUGAGCGGAACUAAUGGUGGAGCGGUGAAAUGCGUUGAUAUCAUGAGGAACACCGGUGGCGAAAGCGGCUCACUGGGACUCUUCUGACGCUGAGGCACGAAAGCUAGGGGAGCGAACGGG